AUCUUUGUGCACGGGUAUUACGCUUAUCAGUGAGGAUCCUUUCCGAGAUGGCGUUAUUGCUAGUUGAAAACUACAACCCUGACCGCUCCGACUCAUGCUUUUGCGUGUUUCGGGAAUCUUUGGAAAAAAAUCCAGCAUUUU
rnacentral:snRNA from 21 species